rnacentral:snoRNA from 1 species
AUUUCGUGAUAAGGAAACUUUCGUAAUAAUUCUUUAUACCUUCCCCAUGCGUCAUACAAAGACUCAUCAUCCAUUUGUUGGAAAACAGUAAUCUCGUUCCUCAACUU